rnacentral:rRNA from 2 species
GAGGGMAAGYCUGGUGCCAGCAGCCGCGGUAAUUCCAGCUCCAGUAGCGUAUAUUAAAGUUGUUGCAGUUAAAAAGCUCGUAGUUGGAGUUGUUGUGUUGAAUGAUUGGUUUGUUUGUUUGUCGGUUGUUUGAGUUUUUUUGCUUGAGCGAUUUGAUGAAUGCUUACCGCAACACAAUCCUUGAUGUUUAUGUAUGAGUAUUUUUUACUUUGUUCAGAACAUCAUCCUUUACUUUGAAAAAAUUGGAGUGAUUCAAGCAGGCGAAAUUACAUAUUAAAAUCUUUUUUUUAAUAUACAUUCAUUUUUGCUUCUGCACAUGUUAGCAUGGAGUAAUGCAAGAGGACUUGGGUUUUCUCUUUCAUUGGUUUCAGGAAUCCGAGUAAUGAUUGAUAGGGACAGUUGGGGGUGCUCGUACUCGACGGCCAGAGGUGAAAUUCUUGGAUUCGUUGAAGACGAACAACUGCGAAAGCAUUCACCAAGGAUGUCUUCUUUAAUCAAGAACGAAAGUUGGGGGAUCGAAGAUGAUCAGAUACCGUCGUAGUCCCAACCAUAAACGAUGCCGACCAGGGAUCAGCGAGCGUUGACUUUGUAUAAAAAUGAUUUCGGUUAUUCUUAUUACAAACCUCAUUAAUUUGAAACGACCUCGUUGGCACCUUGCGAGAAAUCACCAGUCUUUGGGCUCCGGGGGGAGUAUGGUCGCAAGGCUGAAACUUAAAGGAAUUGACGGAAGGGCACAACCAGCAGUGGAGCCUGUGGUUUAAAUUGACUCAACACGGGAAAACUUACCAGGUCCAGACAUCAUAAGGAUUGACAGAUUGAAGAUCUUUCUUGAUUUGAUGGUUGGUGGUGCAUGGCCGUUCUUAGUUGGUGAAGUGAUUUGUCUGGUUAAUUCCGUUAACGAACGAGACCUCAACCUGCCAAAUAGGUUGUUUCUUUGUUGAAAUUUGUUUGAUGAAGAUGGGUGUUUGUUUUUUCUGACUCGGCAUUUUUGUUGAUGUUGGAGAGCGCAUCCAGAGCCAAAUGGAAUUUGUUUUCUGUUUGAUUCUGCAACACUUCUUGGAGGGACUAUCAGUUCGCAUCUGAUGGAGGUUUGAGGCAAUAACAGGUCUGUGAUGCCCUUCGAUGUCCUGGGCUACACGCGCGCUACACUGAUACAUGCAUCAAGCAGUUCAUUAUUUUAUAAGUUGGUUCAAUUGAUUUUGAAUUUGACUUUGACACCUUUGCUGAUAAGCUUGGGGAAUCUUUGAACUUGUAUCGUGAUGGGGAUAGAUGAUUGCAAUUAUUCAUCUUCAACGAGGAAUUCCUAGUAAACGCGGCUCAUCAAGCCGCAUUGAAUACGUCCCUGCCCUUUGUACACACCGCCCGUCGCUGCUACCGAUUGAAUGGUUCAGCAAGUUUUACGGACUGGCGUCUUAUUUGAUUUUACGAUUGAAUGAGUUUUGGAUUUUUGAUAUUCGUAUUGAUUCCAUGUUUUUGCCGGGAAGUGACGCAAACUUGACCAUUUAGAGGAAGCAAAAGUCGUAACAAGG